rnacentral:rRNA from 1 species
UACAGAGGUCCCUAGCGUUGUUCGGAUUCACUGGGCGUAAAGGGUGCGUAGGCGGUCGGGUAAGUCUGAUGUGAAAUCUCACAGCUUAACUGUGAAACUGCAUUGGAUACUAUCCGGCUCGAGGAAUGGAGGGGAGACUGGAAUUCUCGGUGUAGCAGUGAAAUGCGUAGAUAUCGAGAGGAACACCAGUGGCGAAGGCGAGUCCCUGGACAGGUCCUGACGCUGAGGCACGAAAGCUAGGGGAGCAAACAGG